GGAAUUGGUCGACAUGGAAUUUAACAGUGAUGUUUGGACGAAACCUCAUUUUGCUGUUACUUUGCCAGAGCAUUCUGCUCACUUCACUCCACUCGCGCUUCUUCUGAGGGGAUUCCGACUUACUUACGGAGCGUCCUCUACGCCCCCAAGUGCUCGGUCGGAGUUUGAGACCGUGCGGUUGUCUGCGGGCUGGCCGCUCUGUUGCACGUAAAGUGCCUUCACAAGGCGAGAUCAUUUCUUUUAAAAUAAAGGUUCAUGUUUGUGUAUUUUACACUAUCUCUCUGAUUAAUGUAUGAUUUUUUUGUUGGGCCUCUCCAUAUGAUCUGAUCUGAUUCUCUUUGGACCUCUUCCCACAAUGCUCUAUCCACAAUUUGAACGAGUCAUCCAGCUUGACCUAUUGGUUUUUAUGGAUUGGGGCGAAAAUGCGGCUGGACCGGAUUGUCAUCUCUGUGGACAGGAGAUAAUUGAUGAUACGUUCCACUUAACUCUUAAUGAAACGCUCUACUCUGUAACAGUU